UGGAUUUUUUCUUCUCUGUUCCAGCCCUCUUUUUCCCAGACAGCACUCAGUCCCUGGAUUUCCUUCCCUUCUCCUACCUAGCCAUUCCCAAUACCAUUUUUCCUUUCUCCAUCUGCUUCCCUAAGGAUUUGUCUCAUGAUGUUCUGGUUCCAGAGUCCUUCAGAGCAGAGGAAGGCUGGGCUUGCAGUUCCGACACCAGGAUUCCACUCCAUGUCCACUGAGGCCUGAUGUCAUAGGGAGAGUCUGGAGACUGAGACAGAACUUUUGGGAUUCACCUCGGUGCUUUUACUACUCUUGUGUUCCUCUCUGGAAUUGCUUUUGUCCAUUGGACUUUUGUAUGCAUCAACAACACCCCAAGUUCUUCUCCACUAACAAGCACUUCCCAAGAGCGGGUGUAUGAAGUCAGGAACCACUGUGGUAAAUUCAGUAAGCGUGUGUGAGAAGAUAUGGAUGGCUGUAAGCUUUUGACUGCAGCAUGAAAGAGCCAACAGCAGCAGUCCUACAGGUGACUUGCUUAUGAGCAAAGGCCAAACUGUGUCCAGGAGGUAUCUUCUAACUCUGCUGAUAAAGAAACCUGAGCUGAAUGAAGUGUGGACACUCACCUGUAGGCUGGUUUCCAUACACCCAUAUCAGUAAUAUUUUCAAACAGGCCUACGGUACAGAGAAGGUAGGAGAUAUUGCCAGUGUUCAUAACACAGAACAGCCUUCAGACUGCUCUGAAUUAAUUCCAAGGACUGAAAGGAUGGAAAGCUUCCCGGGAGAAAAACCCUGGGCAAAGGAAUCAUGUUCAGAGAAUGUGAAUGCCACAGUUCCCCCUGAACAUGAGGAAGAACUUUCUUUACUGGGCUGAUGACUGAGCACUAGAACAGAUUGACCAGAAAUGUUGAGGAGUCUCCCUCACUGCAGAUAUUCAGGAGAUGCCUGGACACAAUCCUGUGCCCUGUGCUCUAGGAUGAACCUGCUUGAGCAGAGAGGCUGGACCAGGAGACCUGCUGUUGCCUGUGCCAACUGACCCAUUCUGUGAUUCUGUGAUUAGCUGAUUUUGCCUAGAGUGAGUAACACAAAAUGCCAGCAUGAUUGUUUUUCAACAGUCAGAAUAGACUGAGAGAAAAAAUAAAUGCUUUCUGCCCACUGCGUGUCACAUCAUAUAUCCUGCACUUCUGCAAUAUUAAAUUCUUCUUUUAGGAUCAUAGUUACUUGCCUCUGCAUGAGUCCUUGGUUCCUACAAGGCUUAUUCAGAAUUUAUACCAAAUGAAGAUCAAUAGGAAAUGAGAUUCCUCUCCUACCAGACCACUGUUAUAAAAGAGAUGCCUUUCUGGAGGGCAGGAUUAACACCAGCACAGAAGAUAUUGCUUGAUGCAAGAGUGAUGUACAUGAGAUUCUCUGCCUUGAAGUAAGAUUGGAUAAUCAUAAGGAGUCUUUUUGUCUAUAAAUGGCAUGACUGAUUUCCCAGGCAUGCAUAGCUCUCAAGUGGAGUCUGUUUAGACUGUUUAAUCUAUGCAGAUUUUCAGACUGGAGUUGUGGAAAAUGAGUGAAGCAAAUAUAUUUUAACUAAUGCUUUACAACAUGCUAUGGCAGCUCUCAGCUAUGGCAGAGAGCAUGGAAUAUAUUGUACCAUGCUAGACAAGCCACUCUCCUGUGUGUUAAGAUCAGCUUAUUGUGAGAUGCCUCUACCCAAAAAAAAAAGGUCAAACAAGACCAUGUGCCAAAAUCAAUAAUGUGGAUUUUAUUUGACAGUAAAAUGUGAGGUAGAGAGGUGGAAAGAAAUAGAAAAGAGGGAGGGGGAGAGAGAAAUAGAUUAAGUAGAAAGAUAUUCACCAUGCCUGUGGAUACAGUAGUAUCCUAUUGGUCCUUCAUCAUGGUCUUCUUUGUGGUGUGAUUCCUCCAGCCCCUCAAAACUUUUCAUCCUUUAUACAUUUUAGCAAUCAAAGGAAUCAAUGUCCAUGGGCUACAUUAUUUUCUCAAUUCCAGUGCUAUUUAUGCCCAUGUUCAGUCUUUCUAUUCCUUUGAGUUGAUGGGUUUCUUAUAUGGUUCCCCGCUUCCAGACCAGCCAGAGCUGAUUUUCAGCACAGUUGCUGUUUUGGCUUCCUUUGUGUAUUCUUUAUGUCCAUUAUCAGUCUUCCCCCAGCUUAUUUACCUCUUCCUAGCUUGAGAUAAUCAGACAAUAGUACCAUCUUUACCUUACCUCAGGUUACAGGUGCUUAUCUAACUGUCCAAACUUCCAGGAAUUCAUGAAGGAAUAUUUGGGUGGAGGGUGGGAUGUGUUCAAAGGUCACUGAUGAUUGAGCAGGUUCUUCUCUCUGCAGUUUUCCAUAGUGGACAUAGUCCUUCAGUGAUCUUAACAGUGUGUGAGGAAAUUAUGAUCCAUAAGUCUCUUACACUGUGGCGCCAAUGACCAUCCAAGUCUCACCCUUUAUAUCCUGACUUUGGAAAACUGAGUGCAGAGGGAGCUGUAAUGCUCUUUGUUUCCCUUCA